UCUUCGGCUGUCCACACCCCUCGCCAGUCACCGCAAGUUCACUCACUUGACGAAAGCCAUCUUACAGCUACCCUGAUCCCUGGGCGGAUACUUGCCAUCUAGUCUAUUCCAUCGACAAACAAUGAAGUCUGUGCUACUGUGCCUGGGAGUCGCUGUGCUUUGCCUAGUGUUUGUGAUAGCGGAGGACCAACAACCAGGCAAGCAAGAAGACGAUCCUAAAAAGGCAUUGGAAGUUUUCUGCAAAGUAACAUGUCGAUCAAUUCAACGGUGUCCGGAAAUCUGCCCUCAGAAAUUAACCGGAAGUUGGACCAAACGUAGGGGACUCAUGGGAAGUCCAGGAAUCGGGGAUCUCAGAUUUGAUGAUUAUCUGUUCUUGAAGCUUCUCGGGAAUUAGAGAAAUCCAGGCGAGUGGCCUGUCCGUUCCUCCCGUGGCCUGAUCCUAGUGUCUUCACCCUAUCUUAUCAAUCAUACCGAGUCUUAUUUGUUUCUGGAUUUUGUCUGAAUUAAAUCUUUCCAAUAUUUGUCUAUUUUCACCUUUGUUAUUGACGGUCAGUAUUCCGAGCUAAUAUUUUUGCAUCCUUCUUCCAACUUUAUUUCUGAAAUUAGAAAGUUGUACUGUCGUAAUGAUUUCAACGCAGAUUUAGUUGAAAAUUGUAUAAUUGUUCAGCUUUUAAUAGUAAUUACAUUGAUAUUUUCCAGACGACUGUGUAUAACGUUUUACUUGGGGUAACACAUUGGUUGUGUCUCAAAGUAAUUUAUUUAUGUUUAUUUUUGUAAGUUAUUGUGAAUAAAGAACUAAAUGGAAUAA